ACUAGAGGUGCUGGGGCAGUGCUGCACAGUGUGCAACACUGCCAUUCAUUGUCUCCACUCUCUGCAUGGAAACACUGAACUUUCCUCAGCAUUGAUUCAAUGCUGAUUGGCCAGGGCUGUUUGGCUUGUACUGACUCUGUCCCUGAUCUGCCUCCUUCACAGUCUCAGCCAAUCCUAUAGGAAAGCAUUGUGAUUGGCUCAGACCACCACUUCUGAUAAUGUCACCAGACAGCAGGCAGGUCAGAG